rnacentral:misc_RNA from 1 species
GAUGAAGAACGCAGCGAAAUGCGAUAAGUAAUGUGAAUUGCAGAAUUCAGUGAAUCAUCGAAUCUUUGAACGCACCUUGCGCCCUUUGGCUAUUCCGAAGGGCAUGCCUGUUUGAGUAUCAUGAACACCUCAACUCUCAUGGUUUGCCAUGAUGAGCUUGGACUUUGGGGGUCUUGCCGGCCUAUGGGUCGGCUCCUCUCAAAUUAAUCAGCUUGCCAGUGUUUGGUGGCAUCACAGGUGUGAUAACUAUCUACGCUUGUGGUUUUCCAUCAGGUAACCUUCAGUGAUGGAGGUUCGCUGGGGCUCAUAAAUGUCUCUCCUCAGUGAGGACAGCUUUUUUGAACGUUUGAUCUCAAAUCAGGUAGGACUACCCGCUGAACUUAAGCAUAUCAUAGCGGAGA